GGUGGCUUCCUGAUCACCAACGAGGCAGCAGUUUCCUUGGUGCCCUGGUGUUCAAGCCACUCCUGAAAGCUCAAUCUAGUGUCUGUUUCUUCAGCUCUCCUGGUAAUUUUGAUGACAGGCCAGGACACUCUGGAUGCCAUCCUCAGUGUGUCUAGGCUGUGACUCUGACUUUCUGGGCCAGGACCAGGGCCUUACAGUGCAGGAGAAAGACAGAGAUGUGGAAGCUUCAUGGGGAGGCUUUAAAAACAGGUGAGCCAAGAUUUGGAGGAACCACUGGGAUGCUCACUCGUGGCCAUGACAUCAGCAUUCCAGGAGGGCAGCUCCACAGAUAAGUCACUCCUGAUACUGCUGGCAGCUCACCAUCAGGAACAAUGCACUGAAAUGCAUACGGCCUUUGUAAUGCGCAUUUACAUUGAUCUAACCACUUUCUGGGAAACUCACAACAGUCCAUGGGUGUGAUUAUUGUUAUUUCCAUAUUGCAGAUGAUGGAGCUAAGGCCCCAGGAGGUUAACUGACUUGCCCAAGGCCAUAUUGCCUGUAUGUGAUAUAGCUGGGAUUCAAAUCCAGGUAGUUUGGUUUGAGAGUCCACACUGUUAAUCAUCGCUUCCCGGCGCACUGCUUUUAGCUGAACUCAACGUGCCAACGAUUACCGUAGCUAAAAGUAACAAUAGCAAAGGAGGCUAGGAAAUGCUUACCUCCCUAAAAGUUUUAUAGUGAACUUCAUGUGAAUCAUGUUAUCACCCAGACUGCACGUGAUCUCAACAUUUUAAAAAUAUGCCUGUAGAAAGGGGAUUUUAAAUUGGAAAAGAUGAGUCCUUCCCAUUACUUUAUGUUUCAGAGUUGGAAGGAAUACAAGCUUUCUGAGGAAGGCAGCGCUGUGGCUCCAAUGGCCUGGAGCUCCAUUUUGUCUCGGUAGCCACCCUGGAAUGGUGGGUCAGAUGGUAGAGAGGCUUAGAGGCUCAGUAAAGAAGUUUGGGCUUGGCACUGAGUCCCUGGAGAUUUUCAAGUGGAGACAGAUGGGAUGAACUAAUGUUCUGCUACAAUCAGGCUGACAGUGCAGAGUGCAGGGUGAAGGGAGAUGGAAGAUGGAGAGGCCAAUGAGAAGGCUGCUGCACAUGAGGAGGAGGCUGGGCUAGGAUUGAAGGAGAGGGAAUGAAAAGAUGGUGAUGGCCUCAGAAAUGAAAGGAAAAGCCACAGGGCUUGUGAUUAAUUGGAUCCUGGGGUGGGAGAAGCAGACAUGGAGGUUUUCAGCCAGAAGCAAGAGAAUCAAGAAGAAAAAGGGAUGGUUUUGAGAGAAACAAUAUUCAGACCCACUGAAUUUUAGGAGAGAUAGGGGCACUAAGUUGCAAGGCUAAUAGGUAGUAGGAGAUCUUGUGCUGGGACACAGAGAAUAACUCAAGCUUGUGGUUUAGUAGAGAAAUGGAAAUUGCAGCAUUGAGAAUUAGAGGAGGUUGUGAGAGGAGGGCUGAGAACUAAGAGGUAACUCCAGCAUCAACAAGGGUGAAGGUGGAGAGCCUCUCAUAGAGCCUGGCAGGAAAACCACUGGUGACAUUUGAGAGUACAGUCCAGGUUCCCCAGAGAAAGAGAACCAGUAGGGCAUGUGUGUGUGUGUGUGUGUGUGUGUGUGUGUGCAUAUUGAUAUACACACACAUAUACAUAUAUAAAGAAAUUUAUCAUAAGAAAUUGGCUCACAUGAAUAUGAAGGCUAAGUCCCAAGAUCUACAGUCAGCAAGAAGGAGACCCAGGAGAGUCAAUGUGUAGUUCCAGUGAGAGUCCAAAUACCUGAGCAUAGUACAAAUUUCAGUCCAAAAGCUAGCAGACUUAAGACCUAAGAAGAGCCAAUGUUUCAGUACACAUUUAAAGGUCAGAAAAAGCCAAUGUCCCAGCUCAGAUAGCCAGGCAGGAGAAGCUCCCUCUUGGCCUUUUUGGUCUGAAUUUUUGGCCUUCCACUGAUAGGGUGAGACCCACUCACAUUAGGGAGGACAAUCUGCUUUACUCAGUCCACCAAUUCAAAUGUUAAACUCAUCCACAAACACCCUCAUACACACACCCAAGAUAAUGUGUGGCCAAAUGUCUGGGCACCCUGUAGCCCAAUCGAGCUGAUACAUAAAAUUCAUCACCACAGUGCCAUGAAGUUAGCUUGUGGAAGGCUAAUGAAGAAAUGUGUGGUAGGGAAAAGGAUGCAGGAAGACACAGACGACCCACUUGAGAAUGCUGUCAGCCAAAAGAAGCAGAAAAAUCUGAAUGGGCAGCAGGGUUACCCAACAUUUCUUUACAUGAUAAAAGAGACCUUCUGACUUGAUGCUUUUAUGCUAAUCCAUGUAGACAUUUGUUCUGUCAUUCCUUUUCCCCCAGCUUAUUAAAUUGAAUAUAUAAUUUUCCAUUCUAAUUAUAUUUUCCCAAAGGUAACUUUAAAGUAGUUUGCAUUUUUGGCAGGCAUGCCAACUAUUGGCAGAAGCAGGUGGCUCAGAAGGGCUCUGGGGCAAAGGAAUAAUCCAGUUCAUAAUCUAAAAUGUGCUGUGGAUAAAGAUGCAUGCCACUUACAAGGAUAUUAUCAAAGUUAAUUUUUCUGUGUGAUUCGUGGCUUUUCAACAUUGGUGCAGAAGAAUGGAUGUUUCCUGUCAGCGUCUUGACCGCCUUAGUGUUCACUUAAAAGAAAUACAGGGAAGUACACCUUUCAGGCAUUGGUGCGAGAUGGGUCAGAAAGGAGCCAAAGAACCCGCAGUUGUGUCAGCUGGGGCAGGUGGUAAGUUGGCUGAGGCACAGUGACAUGUCCUUGCAUUGGUCCCCAUCUGAUCAGUGCAAUGAUCACAAUGGAGGACUUGAGACUCUGCAGAAUGUUAAGUGUAAAGAGUGAUGAAAUCCUUUUUGAGCGUGCAAACUGUUUGCUAGAAUCCUAGUUCCAUGUUUCACCAGCGUGGCUGCCUUUUCUCCACACACCUCCGCUCUUAGACAGAUCCCACAUAGCCAGUGGGCCUGGACACUCAGCCCCGGUGAGCCCUCUUCCUGGAAACCCCAUAUCUUCCAUCACUUAGUCUCUUAAAGAAGAGCGUACAAAUAGCCCUCAAAUAGCGCUUGUGUCCAGAAAGCGACAUGCACAGCAUGCCUGUAUCUCUACUCCAAGCAUCCCAGGUAGGUUGGCUUUGCAUGAUAUGUAAGUUGCUGCCAAACAUGCCCAUUAGCUGUCAUUUCUCACUGACUUCACUGUUUUCUUACUUUUAUUUUAAAGGUCAUCUCUGUAUUUCCAGUUGAGACCCACUUAUUAAUUUACAAUGAUACUGUACAUAUAUUUUCAGUUAUUAUAUAUUGUUAUCAUAUAUAGUUAUCUAUAUAUCAUUUUGUAUAUAGAUAUCUGUAUAUAUGAUAUUAUCUGUAUAUAUUAUCCAUGCAUGUACUAUCUGUAUAUAUGUAUAUAUAACUGUAUAUCAUAUUCUUAAAUAUACAUUGUCAUCAUAAUAUAUGUAAAAUUCAAUAUAUGGAGACAUCUAUCUUCUCAAUUUUUUCUAAAAUAUAAUAACAAAUU